rnacentral:rRNA from 1 species
UACGUAGGGUGCGAGCGUUGUCCGGAAUUAUUGGGCGUAAAGAGCUUGUAGGCGGUCUGUCGCGUCUGCUGUGAAAAUCCGGGGCUCAACCCCGGACUUGCAGUGGGUACGGGCAGACUAGAGUGUGGUAGGGGAGACUGGAAUUCCUGGUGUAGCGGUGAAAUGCGCAGAUAUCAGGAGGAACACCGGUGGCGAAGGCGGGUCUCUGGGCCGAUACUGACGCUGAGGAGCGAAAGCAUGGGGAGCGAACAGG